rnacentral:rRNA from 1 species
AUUGAACGCUGGCGGCAUGCCUUACACAUGCAAGUCGAACGGUAACAGGUCUUCGGAUGCUGACGAGUGGCGAACGGGUGAGUAAUACAUCGGAACGUGCCUAGUAGUGGGGGAUAACUACUCGAAAGAGUGGCUAAUACCGCAUGAGAUCUACGGAUGAAAGCGGGGGAUCGCAAGACCUUGUGCCACUAGAGCGGCCGAUGGCAGAUUAGGUAGUUGGUGGGAUAAAAGCUUGCCAAGCCGACGAUCUGUAGCUGGUCUGAGAGGACGAUCGGCCACACUGGGACUGAGACACGGCCCAGACUCCUACGGGAGGCAGCAGUGGGGAAUUUUGGACAAUGGGCGAAAGCCUGAUCCAGCAAUGCCGCGUGCAGGAUGAGGGCCUUCGGGUUGUAAACUGCUUUUGUACGGAACGAAAAGCCCUGGGUUAAUACCCUGGGGUCAUGACGGUACCGUAAGAAUAAGCACCGGCUAACUACGUGCCAGCAGCCGCCGUAA